UACAGAGGGUGCGAGCGUUAAUCGGAAUUACUGGGCGUAAAGCGUGCGUAGACGGUUAUCUAAGUCGGAUGUGAAAGCCCCGGGCUCAACCUGGGAAUUGCAUUCGAGACUGAAUAGCUAGGGUACGGUAGAGGGAAGUGGAAUUUCCGGUGUAGCGGUGAAAUUCGUAGAUAUCGGAAGGAACAUCAGUGGCGAAAGCGACUUCCUGGACCAGUACCGACGUUCAGGCACGAAAGCGUGGGGAGCAAACAGG
rnacentral:rRNA from 1 species